rnacentral:lncRNA from 1 species
ACAGAGUGAAUUCUGUCAGCUGAGGGGCAGUGUCUUCCUGUCCCCCACACUCCAGUGGUACCAGUGCAUAGGAUUUCUUUGUGUAGCCCUGGCUGUCCUGGACUUCACCUUGCAGACCACGCUGGCCUUGAACUCACAGAUCCACCGGCCUCUGCCUCCUGAGUAUUGGGACUAAAGAGUGACAAGAGAAGAAUGUCUGUGUGCUUGUCUGCCAGCUAAAGGAAUACAAAGCCAAGCGGUUAGGCUCACCUUGUAUCCCGGAACUCCAGAAGCUAGGCAAGAGGCCCACAGGCCAGCAGCCUGGCUGCACAGAGAGACUUACCGAAGAACAAUUAUUCAAACAAAUUCAAAAGAAAAAAUUCCAGUUCCAUCAGAUGUCCCCUGGCACACCCAAGCACACCCCCUUCUUUCCUUUUCCCGGGGUGACUACAGUUGUGUGCGGAAUUCUCUUGCUUAAAAAAAAAAAAAUGUUUGUA